rnacentral:rRNA from 1 species
AUGCUUUACGGCUUAGAACCGGGACUUCAACGACAUUUUGAACGUCAUGGAGCAUAUGAGAUGUUUCAGGAGUUAAAGUUAAUAUUUCAAGCAAAUGCUCGGAUUGAGAGAUAUGAAGUCUCCAAUAAGUUCUAUAGCUGCAAGAUGGAGGAGAAUAGUUCUGUUAGUGAACAUAUGCUCAGAAUGUCUGGGUACCACAACCACUUGACUCAACUGGGAGUUAAUCUUCCUGAUGAUAGUGUCAUUAAUAGAGUUCUUCAGUCACUGCCACCAAGCUACAAAAACUUCAUGAUGAACUAUAAUAUGCAAGGGAUGAACAAGACUAUUCCCGAGCUCUUCGCGAUGCUAAAGGUUGCGGAGGUAGAAAUCAAGAAGGAGCAUCAAGUGUUGAUGGUCAACAAGACCACUAGUUUCAAGAAAAAGGGUAAAGGGAAGAAGAGGAACUUCAAGAAGAACGGCAAGCAAGUUGCUGCUCAAGUGAAGAAGCCUAAGUCUGGACCUAAGCCUAAGACUAAGUGCUUCUAUUGCAAAGGGACUGGUCACUAG